rnacentral:rRNA from 1 species
UACAGAGGUCCCAAGCGUUGUUCGGAUUCACUGGGCGUAAAGGGUGCGUCGGCGGUCGGGUAAGUCUGAUGUGAAAUCUCGCAUCUUAACUGCGAAACUGCAUUGGAAACUAUCUGACUAGAGGAAUGGAGGGGAGACUGGAAUACUUGGUGUAGCAGUGAAAUGCGUAGAUAGCAAGUGGAACACCAGUGGCGAAGGCGAGUCUCUGGACAUUUCCUGACGCUGAGGCACGAAGGCCAGGGGAGCAAACGGG